UUGGACGCUGGCGGCAGGCUUAACACAUGCAAGUCGAGCGGGGGAAGGUAGCUUGCUACUGGACCUAGCGGCGGACGGGUGAGUAAUGCUUAGGAAUCUGCCUAUUAGUGGGGGACAACAUCUCGAAAGGGAUGCUAAUACCGCAUACGUCCUACGGGAGAAAGCAGGGGAUCUUCGGACCUUGCGCUAAUAGAUGAGCCUAAGUCGGAUUAGCUAGUUGGUGGGGUAAAGGCCUACCAAGGCGACGAUCUGUAGCGGGUCUGAGAGGAUGAUCCGCCACACUGGGACUGAGACACGGCCCAGACUCCUACGGGAGGCAGCAGUGGGGAAUAUUGGACAAUGGGGGGAACCCUGAUCCAGCCAUGCCGCGUGUGUGAAGAAGGCCUUAUGGUUGUAAAGCACUUUAAGCGAGGAGGAGGCUACUUUAGUUAAUACCUAGAGAUAGUGGACGUUACUCGCAGAAUAAGCACCGGCUAACUCUGUGCCAGCAGCCGCGGUAAUACAGAGGGUGCGAGCGUUAAUCGGAUUUACUGGGCGUAAAGCGUGCGUAGGCGGCUUAUUAAGUCGGAUGUGAAAUCCCCGAGCUUAACUUGGGAAUUGCAUUCGAUACUGGUGAGCUAGAGUAUGGGAGAGGAUGGUAGAAUUCCAGGUGUAGCGGUGAAAUGCGUAGAGAUCUGGAGGAAUACCGAUGGCGAAAGCAGCCAUCUGGCCUAAUACUGACGCUGAGUACGAAAGCAU
rnacentral:rRNA from 1 species